rnacentral:rRNA from 1 species
AUGGGGAUGCAGGUGCUGAUGAACAUACGUUGCACCAAUUUGAAUAACCCCAUGUGCGACUGGUUUGCAAGGUUAUACCAGCCUGAUAAGAGGGAAUUUGUCAUACCAGGGCAUGGUGGGAUUCCAUUAGACGAGGACCUUGUUUUCAGCACACUUGGUGUCCCCAAUGGCAGCAUGGAUGUCCCAUACAAGGUUGAUACGAAAGUGCAAGCAUGUCUUUUCCCUGAAAUGUUCCCUAGUCUUACGUCCCUACCGGCGAACUCUGCUUUUGUGAAUAUGCUUGUUACGAUCCAAACAAGCGACGAUGACUUCAAGAGGAAAUUGCUCAUGUACUUGAUCUCAAAUGUCUUUGCCCCAACGACAUUGUUACGCCCCAGCAACAGAUGCUUUCCUGUUCUGGAUCAGAUAGGCAACAUUACCAACAUGAACUGGUGCAAGUUCAUAGUUGGUUUCCUUCAUACUUCACUAUCUAAUAAAAUGUACAACCAAGGCUGUCGGUUGCGUCUAAUGGCAAGUUUUUUUUAUGUCAAACCCUUUGCUUUUUCCAUUCUAGGUCGUCCUCCCUCCCCCAGUGUUUUCUUACUCCUUUUUCGCAUUAGAAGCUAA